rnacentral:pre_miRNA from 1 species
CGUGUAUGUGAGUGUGUGUGUGUGUGUGUGUGUGCGCGCGCGCGCAUGCGCAUGCACGCACCUGCACACCCACGUG